GAUGAACGCUAGCGGCAGGCUUAACACAUGCAAGUCGAGGGGUAACAUUGUAGCUUGCUACAGAUGACGACCGGCGCACGGGUGCGUAACGCGUAUAGAACCUACCUUUUACAGAGGGAUAGCCUUUAGAAAUGAAGAUUAAUACCUCAUGGUUCCUAAAUUUCACCUGAGAUUUAGGAUAAAGAUUUAUCGGUAAAAGAUGGCUAUGCGUCCUAUUAGCUAGAUGGUAAGGUAACGGCUUACCAUGGCUAUGAUAGGUAGGGGUCCUGAGAGGGAGAUCCCCCACACUGGUACUGAGACACGGACCAGACUCCUACGGGAGGCAGCAGUGAGGAAUAUUGGGCAAUGGAGGCAACUCUGACCCAGCCAUGCCGCGUGAAGGAAGACGGCCCUAUGGGUUGUAAACUUCUUUUAUACAGGAAGAAACGCAGAUACGUGUAUUUGUUUGACGGUACUGUAAGAAUAAGCACCGGCUAACUCCG
rnacentral:rRNA from 1 species